UACGUAGGGUGCAAGCGUUGCCCGGAUUUAUUGGGCGUAAAGGGCGCGUAGGCGGCCACGCACGUCCGUUGUGAAAUCGCCCGGCUCAACUGGGCGGGGUCGGCGGAUACGGCGUGGCUGGAGCAAGCUAGGGGGCAAUGGAAUUCCCGGUGUAGUGGUGGAAUGCGUAGAUAUCGGGAGGAACACCCAGGGGGAAACCAGUCGACUGGGCAUCUACUGACGCUGAGGUGCGAGAGCGUGGGGAGCGAACCGG
rnacentral:rRNA from 1 species